UACAGAGGUCUCAAGCGUUGUUCGGAUUCAUUGGGCGUAAAGGGAGCGUAGGCGGCGCGGUAAGUCGGGUGUGAAAUCUUGGAGCUUAACUCCGAAACUGCAUUCGAUACUGCCGUGCUUGAGGACUGGAGAGGAGACUGGAAUUUACGGUGUAGCGGUGAAAUGCGUAGAUAUUGGGAGGAAUACCGGUGGCGAAGGCGGCUCUCUGGACCGGUACUGACGCUAAAGCGCGAAAGCGUGGGUAGCAAACAGG
rnacentral:rRNA from 1 species